rnacentral:SRP_RNA from 2 species
UGUCGGGUCCUGUGCAGCGAAAACCUGCGAACCGCGUCAGGGCCGGAAGGCAGCAGCGCUCAGCAGAUCUUUUCGGGUGCCGCAGGGUUGCCUGGCCGGC